GCGCUGGGAGAGGCGGGGUGGCGGUCACGCCAACCGCUGGCGAUUGGCUGUGCCCACAGCAGCCUGACCAAUACCGGUGUGGCGGAGGCCAUAAACGACGUAGCGUGGAACACGCGCGUUCUUUUCAGCCGGAGGGCUCGGCGGGAACCGGCGGCGCGGGACUCGGCGGUGGCGGCGUCCCGGAGCCUCCGUGGCCGAUCCGCGGCGGGGCCCGGCCUUCUGGGCCGCUAAAACGCGGUGUCCCCUGUUCCGGGGUUGGCGGUAAGUGGGGCUGAGCCCCAUAGGGAAAUCCUCUACAACUUGGAAGCACAAAGAAGCGGCUGCAGAAUGGGCUGGAGGAAAGAAUUCACCGACUUUAACUCGCCCUCAUGAGUUACUUCAAGGUGAAUGUCUGGGCAAGGUGAUGGGUGCAGUAAUGUGAGUAAAUGAAGGGAUUUACACUCUUAACGUCAAUGCUACAGUGUGUAGAUGGACAAUUUAAAACCUUUUUUCUCUUUAGCUGUUUUCCCAGUCUCAAGACCAAUCUUAUUCGUAAUUGCUUUACUGCUGUAUUUCUGCUUUGGCUUCUAUAUAAAACAAAUUUUGUAGCUUGUGGGUGAAUAAAGUUUUGUAAAGUCUGGG